GCGGGAGUUCCCAAGCCAGGUCUAAGGGGCGGGGCUCAGGACCCCGUGGCGCAGGCCUUCGUGGGUUCAAAUCCCACCUCCCGCACCA
rnacentral:tRNA from 1 species